rnacentral:rRNA from 1 species
UACGUAGGGGGCAAGCGUUGUCCGGAAUUACUGGGCGUAAAGGGCCAGUAGGCGGCCAACUAAGUCCGACGUGAAAUCCCUAGGCUUAACCGGGGAACUGCGUCUGAUACUGGAUGGCUUGAGGUUGGGAGAGGGAUGGCGGAAUUCCACGUGUAGCAGUGAAAUGCGUAGAGAUGUGGAGGAAUACCGAUGGCGAAGGCAGCCCCCUGGGAUAACACUCGACGCUCAUGCACGAAAGCGUGGGGAGCAAACAGGA